rnacentral:rRNA from 1 species
GAUCAACGCUGGCGGCGUGCUUAACACAUGCAAGUCGAACGAAGUUUUUCCUUCGGGAGCAACUUAGUGGCGGACGGGUGAGUAACGCGUGGGUAACCUGCCCUGUACAGGGGGACAACAGCUGGAAACGGCUGCUAAUACCGCAUAAGCACUUAGCACUGCAUGGUGCAUAGGGAAAAGGAGCAAUCCGGUACAGGAUGGACCCGCGUCUGAUUAGCCAGUUGGCAGGGUAACGGCCUACCAAAGCGACGAUCAGUAGCCGAUCUGAGAGGAUGUACGGCCACAUUGGGACUGAGACACGGCCCAGACUCCUACGGGAGGCAGCAGUGGGGAAUAUUGCACAAUGGAGGAAACUCUGAUGCAGCGACGCCGCGUGAGUGAAGAAGUAUUUCGGUAUGUAAAGCUCUAUCAGCAGGGAAGAAAAUGACGGUACCUGACUAAGAAGCACCGGCUAAAUACGUG